GACGAACCGUGCGAACGUUAUUCGGAAUCACUGGGCUUAAAGGGCGCGUAGGCGGGCUCGCAGGUCAGGGGUGAAAGCCCACGGCUCAACCGUGGAAGUGCCUUUGAUACCGUGAGUCUCGAGGGAGGUAGGGGCGUGCGGAACUUCCGGUGGAGCGGUGAAAUGCGUAGAUAUCGGAAGGAACAUCGGUGGCGAAGGCACUUUACUGGGCUAUUACUAACACUCAGAGACGGAAAGCUAAGGGUAGCAAAUGGGG
rnacentral:rRNA from 1 species